GACGAACGCUGGCGGCGUGCUUAACACAUGCAAGUCGAACGGAAAGGCCCUGCUUUUGUGGGGUGCUCGAGUGGCGAACGGGUGAGUAACACGUGAGUAACCUGCCCUUGACUUUGGGAUAACUUCAGGAAACUGGGGCUAAUACCGGAUAGGAGCUCCUGUUGCAUGGUGGGGGUUGGAAAGUUUCGGCGGUUGGGGAUGGACUCGCGGCUUAUCAGCUUGUUGGUGGGGUAGUGGCUUACCAAGGCUUUGACGGGUAGCCGGCCUGAGAGGGUGACCGGCCACAUUGGGACUGAGAUACGGCCCAGACUCCUACGGGAGGCAGCAGUGGGGAAUAUUGCACAAUGGGCGGAAGCCUGAUGCAGCAACGCCGCGUGCGGGAUGACGGCCUUCGGGUUGUAAACCGCUUUCGCCUGUGACGAAGCGUGAGUGACGGUAAUGGGUAAAGAAGCACCGGCUAACUACGUGCCAGCAGCCGCGGUGAUACGUAGGGUGCGAGCGUUGUCCGGAUUUAUUGGGCGUAAAGGGCUCGUAGGUGGUUGAUCGCGUCGGAAGUGUAAUCUUGGGGCUUAACCCUGAGCGUGCUUUCGAUACGGGUUGACUUGAGGAAGGUAGGGGAGAAUGGAAUUCCUGGUGGAGCGGUGGAAUGCGCAGAUAUCAGGAGGAACACCAGUGGCGAAGGCGGUUCUCUGGGCCUUUCCUGACGCUGAGGAGCGAAAGCGUGGGGAGCGAACAGGCUUAGAUACCCUGGUAGUCCACGCUGUAAACGGUGGGUACUAGGUGUGGGGUCCAUUCCACGGGUUCCGUGCCGUAGCUAACGCUUUAAGUACCCCGCCUGGGGAGUACGGCCGCAAGGCUAAAACUCAAAGGAAUUGACGGGGCCCCGCACAAGCGGCGGAGCAUGCGGAUUAAUUCGAUGCAACGCGUAGAACCUUACCUGGGUUUGACAUGGAUCGGGAGUGCUCAGAGAUGGGUGUGCCUCUUUUGGGGUCGGUUCACAGGUGGUGCAUGGCUGUCGUCAGCUCGUGUCGUGAGAUGUUGGGUUAAGUCCCGCAACGAGCGCAACCCUUGUUCACUGUUGCCAGCACGUUAUGGUGGGGACUCAGUGGAGACCGCCGGGGUCAACUCGGAGGAAGGUGGGGAUGACGUCAAGUCAUCAUGCCCCUUAUGUCCAGGGCUUCACGCAUGCUACAAUGGCUGGUACAGAGAGUGGCGAGCCUGUGAGGGUGAGCGAAUCUCGGAAAGCCGGUCUCAGUUCGGAUUGGGGUCUGCAACUCGACCUCAUGAAGUCGGAGUCGCUAGUAAUCGCAGAUCAGCAACGCUGCGGUGAAUACGUUCCCGGGGCU
rnacentral:rRNA from 1 species